GAACGCACCUUGCGCUCCUUGGUAUUCCGAGGAGCAUGCCUGUUUGAGUGUCAUUAAAUUCUCAACUUCACCGAUUUGCUUCGAGUGAAGCUUGGCCUUUGGAGCGUGCUGGCCCUCGAUUGGGUCGGCUCCUCUUUAAAUGCAGCAGCGGAGUCUUCUUUGACUUUUGUGCCAUCGGUGUGAUAAUCAUGUUGCGCCGUGGGCCCUGGGUCUCAGUCCGCUUACAAUCGUCUUCGGACAGCUUAUGAAACGCUUGACCUCAAAUCAGGUAGGACUACCCGCUGAACUUAAG
rnacentral:misc_RNA from 1 species